rnacentral:rRNA from 1 species
AUUGAACGCUGGCGGCAUGCCUUACACAUGCAAGUCGAACGGCAGCAUGAUCUAGCUUGCUAGAUUGAUGGCGAGUGGCGAACGGGUGAGUAAUACAUCGGAACGUGCCCUGUAGUGGGGGAUAACUAGUCGAAAGAUUAGCUAAUACCGCAUACGACCUGAGGGUGAAAGUGGGGGACCGCAAGGCCUCAUGCUAUAGGAGCGGCCGAUGUCUGAUUAGCUAGUUGGUGAGGUAAAGGCUCACCAAGGCGACGAGCAGUAGCUGGUCUGAGAGGACGAUCAGCCACACUGGGACUGAGACACGGCCCAGACUCCUACGGGAGGCAGCAGUGGGGAAUUUUGGACAAUGGGGGCAACCCUGAUCCAGCAAUGCCGCGUGUGUGAAGAAGGCCUUCGGGUUGUAAAGCACUUUUGUCCGGAAAGGAAUCGCACUUACUAAUAUUAGGUGUGGAUGACGGUACCGGAAGAAUAAGGACCGGCUAACUACGUGCCAGCCGCCGCCGUAAAAC